rnacentral:rRNA from 1 species
CCUACGGGAGGCAGCAGUAGGGAAUCUUCCACAAUGGACGAAAGUCUGAUGGAGCACCGCCGCGUGAGUGAAGAAGGGUUUCGGCUCGUAAAGCUCUGUUGGUAGUGAAGAAAGAUAGAGGUAGUAACUGGCCUUUAUUUGACGGUAAUUACUUAGAAAGUCACGGCUAACUACGUUCCAGCAGCCGCGGUAAUACUUAGGUGGCAAGCGUUGUCCGGAUUUAUUGGGCGUAAAGCGAGUGCAGGCGGUUCAAUAAGUCUGAUGCGAAAGCCUUCGGCCCAACCGGAGAAUUGCAUCAGAAACUGUUGAACUUGAGUGCAGAAGAGGAGAGUGGAACUCCAUGUGUAGCGGUGGAAUGCGUAGAUAUAUGGAAGAACACCAGUGGCGAAGGCGGCUCUCUGGUCUGCAACUGACGCUGAGGCUCGAAAGCAUGGGUAGCGAACAGGAUUAGAUACCCGAGUAGUC